rnacentral:rRNA from 1 species
CCUACGGGAGGCAGCAGUGGGGGAUAUUGCACAAUGGGGGAAACCCUGAUGCAGCGACGCCGCGUGAGUGAAGAAGUAUUUCGGUAUGUAAAGCUCUAUCAGCAGGGAAGAAAAUGACAGUACCUGACCAAGAAGCCCCGGCUAACUACGUGCCAGCAGCCGCGGUAAUACGUAGGGGGCAAGCGUUAUCCGGAUUUACUGGGUGUAAUGGGAGCGUAGACGGUUAUGUAAGUCUGGAGUGAAAGCCGGGGGCCCAACCCCGGGACUGCUUUGGAAACUGUGUAACUGGAGUACAGGAGGGGCAGGCGGAAUUCCUGGUGUAGCGGUGAAAUGCGUAGAUAUCAGGAGGAACACCGGCGGCGAAGGCGGCAUGCUGGACUGAAACUGACGUUGAGGCUCGAAAGCGUGGGGAGCAAACAGGAUUAGAUACCCCAGUAGUC